UACGUAGGUGGCGAGCGUUGUCCGGAUUUACUGGGCGUAAAGCGCGCGCAGGCGGGCUGGUCAGUCCGGGGUGAAAUCUCACGGCUCAACCGUGAGCGGUCCCCGGAUACUGCCAGUCUUGAGGUGUCUAGAGGAGAGCGGAAUUCCCGGUGUAGUGGUGGAAUGCGUAGAUAUCGGGAAGAACACCAGUGGCGAAAGCGGCUCUCUGGGGACCACCUGACGCUGAGGCGCGAAAGCGUGGGGAGCGAACCGG
rnacentral:rRNA from 2 species